rnacentral:rRNA from 1 species
UACGGGGGGGGCAAGCGUUGUUCGGAAUUACUGGGCGUAAAGGGCUCGUAGGUGGCCAACUAAGUCAGACGUGAAAUCCCUCGGCUUAACCGGGGAACUGCGUCUGAUACUGGAUGGCUUGAGUUCGGGAGAGGGAUGCGGAAUUCCAGGUGUAGCGGUGAAAUGCGUAGAUAUCUGGAGGAACACCGGUGGCGAAGGCGGCAUCCUGGACCGACACUGACACUGAGGCGCGAAAGCGUGGGUAGCAAACAGG